UACGUAGGGUGCGAGCGUUGUCCGGAAUUAUUGGGCGUAAAGAGCUCGUAGGCGGUCUGUCGCGUCUGCUGUGAAAUCCCGAGGCUCAACCUCGGGCUUGCAGUGGGUACGGGCAGGCUAGAGUGCGGUAGGGGAGAAUGGAGCUCCUGGUGUAGCGGUGGAAUGCGCAGAUAUCAGGAAGAACACCGAUGGCGAAGGCAGUUCUCUGGGCCGUAACUGACGCUGAGGAGCGAAAGCGUGGGGAGCGAACAGG
rnacentral:rRNA from 1 species